AAAGAAAGCCGGGGCCAGAAAGAAACUCAGACAUCAUCUGGCUUACAUUUUAAUCUUGCAACUGAGAAAAGGUAGACUCUCAGCAGCUCCUGGCAAUAAACAACUCAGGCGCAACGGGAUGUUUCUUACAAGGAGCAGCCGUGCAGUGAUUGCUCCACUCUGAGGGUCUGACUCAGCCCUUCCUCAGCUUCUGGGCUUAUUUUAGCCCCACGUUUCUGGAGGAGGAAACGAGAACAUGAUCAAGGAUGCCGUGGGAAGAGCCUGGGGCCCUCCAGUUCUCUCGGGGAGCCUCGGGAAGCUCCUCGCAGUUUCAGCUACUGUAGAAAUUCACAGCCAAGGGCUCCUACAGAAUUGGGCUGUCAGCCUGGCCAGCCUGGGCGGGUGGGCCCCGCUGUAAGAAAGCCUGCCAUUUGGAAAUGAGAAUUAGAGCAAAAGGA
rnacentral:lncRNA from 1 species